rnacentral:tRNA from 2 species
GGGCCUGUAGCUCAGUUGGUUAGAGCAGAGGACUCAUAAUCCUUUGGUCGUAGGUUCGAGUCCUACCGGGCCCA